AUGGCGUACUCCUCCUGUUUGAAUCGGAGUUUGAAACCAAACAAACUUCUCCUCAGGAGGAUAGAUGGGGCGAUUCAGGUGAGAUCCCAUGUAGAUCUAACUUUCUAUUCACUCGUGGGAUCCGGGCGGUCCGGGGGGGGCCACCACGGCUCCUCUCUUCUCGAGAAUCCAUACAUCCCUUAUCAGUGUAUGGAGAGCUAUCUCUCGAGCACAGGUUGA
rnacentral:rRNA from 1 species